UGAGGAAUAUUGCUCAAUGGCCGCAAGGCUGAAGCAGCAACGCCGCGUGAGGGAUGAAGGAUCUAUGGUCUGUAAACCUCUGUAGAGAAGGAAAAAUAACCCAUUAUAUGGGCUUGAUAGUACUUCUAGAGUAAGCCCCGGCUAACUACGUGCCAGCAGCCGCGGUAAUACGGAGGGUGCGAGCGUUGUUCGGAAUCACUGGGUGUAAAGGGUGCUCAGGCGGGUCGAUAAGUCAGAGGUGAAAUUUCACAGCUUAACUGUGAAUGUGCUUUUGAUACUGUCGGUCUAGAGUUCAGAAGAGGGCAAUGGAAUUCUUGGUGUAGCGGUAAAAUGCAUAGAUAUCAAGAAGAACACCAGUUGCGAAGGCGGUUGCCUGGUCUGUAACUGACGCUCAAGCACGAAAGCGUGGGGAUCAAACA
rnacentral:rRNA from 1 species